ACCGGCGGACGGGUGAGUAACGCGUGGGAAUCUUCCCAGAAGAGGGGCAUAGCCAGCCGAAAGGUUGGGUAAUUCCCCAUGUGAUCGAAAGAUUAAAGGCGCAAGCCGCUUCUGGAUGAGCCCGCGUCCUAUCAGCUUGUUGGUGGGGUAAAAGCCUACCAAGGCGACGACGGGUAGCUGGUCUGAGAGGAUGGUCAGCCACAAUGGGACUGCGACACGGCCCAUACAUCUACGGAUGGCAGCAACUGGGAAUCAUGGACAAUGGACGAAAGUCUGAUCCUGCGACGCCGCGUGGAGGAUUGAAGGCCUUCGGGUUGUAAACUCCUUUUGCAUAGGAAGAUUAUGACGGUACUAUGCGAAUAAGCACCUGCUAAUCACGUGCCAGAAGCCUCGGUAAUACGUGAGGUGCGAGCGUUAUCCGGAUUCAUUGGGCGUAAAGAGUUGCGUAGGCGGAUUUGCGCAUUUUGUUUAAAAGCCCGGAGCUCAACUCCGG
rnacentral:rRNA from 1 species